rnacentral:rRNA from 1 species
AUACGGAGGGUGCGAGCGUUGUUCGGAAUUAUUGGGCGUAAAGAGCAUGUAGGCGGUCUGUUAAGUCUGGUGUGAAAGCCCGGGGCUCAACCCCGGAAGUGCAUUGGAUACUGGCAGACUUGAGUAUGGGAGAGGAAAGCGGAAUUCCGAGUGUAGGAGUGAAAUCCGUAGAUAUUCGGAGGAACACCUGUGGCGAAGGCGGCUUUCUGGACCAAUACUGACGCUGAGAUGCGAAAGCGUGGGGAGCAAACAGGAUUAGAUACCCCAGUAGUCC